GUGCUUUUCAUAUCACUAAAAUUGACGUACGAUAAACAUUGUGAAAUGAAAGGAAACUGCUCAAAGUAAAGAACAUCUGGGGUGAGGGAAAAGAGAAAAGAAAGAAGGGGAAAUUACGUAUGUAUGUAUAUACAGGAUAGCUAACAUAGUUGUACUAUUGACUUCUAUCGCUUUAGUGAAAGGAACAGUUAAUGAUUAACUGUUUGAUCAAUCUUGCAUGUCUAUAUUUGUUUUCCUGAGUAAUCACUUUGAAGAUAUUAAUAUGUAGUACAACAACCAUUGCUAAUUUCUUAUCACCUUGUCUGAAAUUCAGUGUUGCUUGUACUGUUCUUGUGUUAUUUUGUAAACGUGUGUGUGUUUGUUAAUAUAUGUUCAUUCUUUUAUUUUUAAAACAAAAAAAAUAAAGUUGACAAAAGGUCGGUAGUAAAACAAUUGAGUGGACAUCUCUAAAAAAAGAAAGAAGGAAGGAAAAAAGGAAAAGAUUUAGAACAUGUUAGGAAAAGUGAGUUUUACCCAUAAAUAACACACACGCACAAAUGCUGAGCUGGGAUGAGGUAAGGGGACAUAUGGAAUUUGUCUAAAAGGAGUCAACUGGCUUCCAGAUUUGGGGAUUGAUGCCUCUGAGUUAUUUUUACUGGUAGAGAUUCCAGUUUAUGAGUAAUACGUGGGGCACAGUAUCAACAGUCAACAGUUCACAAAUUCCUGAAAAAGUCUCCUGGCAGAAAAGGUUUAAUUGAGCUUGACAGAAACUAUCUAGCAGCUUUCCUAAGUAAUUGCUAUUACCCAAAAUAGGUCUAACUCAUAAAUCGCAUGAUUUUAGAAAUGAUGAUUCAAUAAAAAUGUUUAUAGAAAUAGCGUUUUGAUUAAUUCCUUCAGACUAACAAAUUCGUGGCACAUGUGAUAAAGUGAGAUUUCUACUGUCAAUUAGGAAAACUCAGAAAUGAAACCCAGCCCUCGAAUACAGCCCUUUGGAUAACUGAUCCCAGAUUUUAGUAGUGGGUGUUGCUUCCUAAGUGCUUUUUCCAAGAUCAGCUGCACCGCACCUCUGGGCCUUACUCCUGUGACAGUCCUGCUCAGAGUCACUUCAAUUCACAGCCAAGUGAGACUGACAACAGAUAACUCAGAGCCAGAAUCCGUAAGAAGACUUGGCCUAGGAUACCUACCAAGACAUGGAAUAGAUGGCUAUGUGAACUCCUGACUCUCCAGUAUGACACUGCUCUCUUAAAUCACUUUCCCAGGUAAGAAACAAGCCAAAAACCG
rnacentral:lncRNA from 1 species